GAUGAACGCUGGCGGCGUGCUUAACACAUGCAAGUCGAACGAAGCAUUUAAGACAGAUUACUUCGGUUUGAGGUCUUUUAUGACUGAGUGGCGGACGGGGGAGUAACGCGUGGGUAACCUGCCUCAUACAGGGGGAUAGCAGCUGGAAACGGCUGGUAAUACCGCAUAAGCGCACAGUACCACAUGGUACAGUGUGAAAAACUCCGGUGGUAUGAGAUGGACCCGCGUCUGAUUAGCUUGUUGGCGGGGUAACGGCCCACCAAGGCGACGAUCAGUAGCCGACCUGAGAGGGUGACCGGCCACAUUGGGACUGAGACACGGCCCAGACUCCUACGGGAGGCAGCAGUGGGGAAUAUUGCACAAUGGAGGAAACUCUGAUGCAGCGACGCCGCGUGAGUGAAGAAGUAGUUCGCUAUGUAAAGCUCUAUCAGCAGGGAAGAUAGUGACGGUACCUGACUAAGAAGCUCCGGCUAAAUACGUG
rnacentral:rRNA from 1 species